rnacentral:lncRNA from 1 species
GUAUUUGUGUUCUGUUAAAUUGUUCUGUUUAAAAUUGUUACACGAUGAUGACUGCUGUACCUAUAUUUUGACUAUUUUGUUUAUUAUGUCUGUUUAGUUCACGCAUCAUUGUAAAUAUAACGGAAUUUGAUGAGACUGUCAUCAAAGUGAGAGGUUAAGGAUGUACUUAGGUGAGGUUUUGGAAUUUGUAUCAAAUGUUCGGACUCCUUGGUGUUUUUCCAUACAAUACAAUGUAAAAUAUUUUGCCCCAUAACACCCAUUUAUUUUUUCAUAUAAGACUUAAUAGCUCAUGAAAGGUCAUUUACCAAAAUUUAAGAAGAUUCUUAAUUUUCUUUCUUUUGUUUUGAGACCCAAAUAAUACCAAUGCAAAUAUAAAGUAAAAGUCCGAGUCAGCCUUUUCCCGCCAUAUUUUAAAUCUCAAAUAUCUCGAAAAGGAGGUCCAUGACCUAUCACUAUGUUUAGCUUAUCUUUAUCCUUAAUUGAUGCUCUACCAGCUUAAAGUAUCAAUUUUAAUUUCUUAAUUUCUUAUUUUUUACCUAACC